rnacentral:rRNA from 1 species
GAUGAACGCUGGCGGCGUGCCUAAUACAUGCAAGUCGAGCGAACAGACGAGGAGCUUGCUCCUCUGACGUUAGCGGCGGACGGGUGAGUAACACGUGGAUAACCUACCUAUAAGACUGGGAUAACUUCGGGAAACCGGAGCUAAUACCGGAUAAUAUAUUGAACCGCAUGGUUCAAUAGUGAAAGACGGUUUUGCUGUCACUUAAAGAUGGAUCCGCGCCGCAUUAGCUAGUUGGUAAGGUAACGGCUUACCAAGGGGACGAUGCGUAGCCGACCUGAGAGGGUGAUCGGCCACACUGGAACUGAGACACGGUCCAGACUCCUACGGGAGGCAGCAGUAGGGAAUCUUCCGCAAUGGGCGAAAGCCUGACGGAGCAACGCCGCGUGAGUGAUGAAGGUCUUCGGAUCGUAAAACUCUGUUAUUAGGGAAGAACAAAUGUGUAAGUAACUAUGCACGUCUUGACGGUACCUAAUCAGAAAGCCACGGCUAACUACGUG